rnacentral:snRNA from 1 species
AUAAACGUGAUAAUUAAA